rnacentral:lncRNA from 10 species
GGACGUUGCUCUUUUGAUGGCCCGCGCCGGCCAGUCUCGCCGACGCCACACUGGGUUUGACGUCACGGGCCCAGCCCUGGAGCCCGGAGCACAGGGCAGCGGGGGAGGGAAAAGGAUGGGAGGGGGAUACCGAGGAGGGAGGGCCGAGGUCGGCACCGGGACCCACGGGGAAGGAAGGGGGAAGGGAUCGAGGUUGGAGAGGCUGCGGCGCGUGGCCUGAGGCGGAGAGUCGGGCUGCGGGGGUCCGGGCCAGGCCCGGCGCCGGCAUGACCCGCCUCGCCAGCAAGAGCAGGCCGGGCUUCCUCCUCCCUUGGCGGGCGGGGGAGGGGAAGGGGGCUCACGGCCGGGGGGAAGGGGGAAAACGUGGUCCUGAUUCUCCCUGUGCCACAGCCACAAAGCUGAUCCUGGCCUCCUGCGGAGGAGCCUGAGCGCCUUCCCGCAGACCUGACGCGACCCCUCCCCAGGUACCUGGGCCUCGGCCUGGUCUAGCGAGUCCCCUUCCUCCCAAGGAGCAGCCAGCGGAGCUCGGGUGGAGGAAAGCGAGGAGGCGACCAGGAGGCUGCCGCCGCCGCCGCCGCUGCAGGGCCCGGGGCUUCUGUAGGGCACAAGGCCUCCCUCACCAGGGUAAGGGACUGGCGAUCAACCUGGACGCCUAGGACCCUGGGAGCAAGCAUCCCGCAAUCGAGCAGGCGACGGCGCGGCCACCGCCUGGAGAGGAGCCGGGGCCCGAGGCGGCGUGCGGGGCGGUGGCAGCCGGCUUGGCCUACCCGAAACCCCAGGCCUGGAAGCGGCUGCUUUAGGCGUCAAGUUGAGCCGGGUAUGUGUGUCCUCUUGGGGAAAAGGAAACCCGCCCAGGCCAGGAGGAGCCGCGAGUGGUGGGGAGAGUCAAAAAAGAGGAGAUGCGCUGGGAGAUUACCCCCGCCCCCGCACUCCGCCCCCAGCCCAGCCCCGGCCUCCACUUCGAGGGAUCCUGAGCCUCCCACAGCCACUACCACCUUUUCCCCGGUUGAGAAAACCCCUGAUUGUAGCGAGAUAACAAUUGGGUGGGGGGACAGGUGGAUGCCGCCGGAGAAAAAGAAGGGAUGGAGGCAGCCCAGCCGGCGGCCCUCGGUCUCCAGGCGCCAGCAGUCCAGCAGCGACGGACACCCGGCGGACCUCAGCCGGGACGCCUCGGGCAGCUGCUUCUUGCUCACUGCCGCACCCACCUCUGCACCCCAGCUCCGGUCAGCCCAGCAGCCAAAGCAAAAAGGAGAUUCCUCAGUUUCCUCCCUUGGAGGCUGCAAAGCCUCUCUCUGGUUAUUCCAACCAUUAAGAAAAAAAGAGGUGAUGGGAAAGAUUUGGUCUGCACACAAAGACAUACUAGGAGAAGAGUGCACAUUUAUGUAUAAAAUAGCCCAGGCACCAAGAAUGAGACAUUACUUCAGUACCGCCUAG